AACAAACCAUUGCAGGAGUUGGCUGUGUCACCAGGAGCUGUCCAAGAACCUGGCCACAGACGACAAUGGACUAUUAGGUAAAGAACAGAUCCCUUCCAUCUUGCCACAUGCUCCCUGUAGCAAACAGCCACCUGGGACUUACAACUCAGAUGCUCCUCAGCCUCCUGUGGCCUCAAACAAGAUCUGGCCUGGUAAAACCUUCAACUCAGCAAUUCCACAUCUAGGUAUCAGUACUGGAGAAAAGCUCCCACAUGCACCCAAUGGAGCAUGCACAAGGAUGUUUGUUGUAGAAUAAGAACGUUUAUAUACAGAACAAAAUGGAAACAACCUAAAUAGCCAUCAGCAGGGUCAUAUGGUUCUGCUGCUGUCUCUGGCAGAAGGGUCAUGAGUAAGAAUCCAUCCAGUUGUGCAGAGGAGACCCCCAGCUACUGCAGUGGAGUCUGACAGGCUCCAGUUUCAUGCACUGAGCACCUACUAUGUGCCAGGCCAGAGCACACCCCAGGAACGCCACAGCAAACGAGACAGUUCCUGUAAAAUGGUGACAGCAUCAUCACCUCCUUAAAGGGUCAUUAUGAGGAUCAAAUAAGACAACAGGUGGAAAACAAGACAGGACCCAGCACAUAUGAUGGGUAUAAUAAAUACUGACUUUUAAUACAAUGGUGGUUAUAUUUAUAACAACUACUAAAAUAAAAUGUAAAAAUAGUCUUCCUCCCGCUUUCCUUCGUCCCUCCCAUGGUGGGUGACUGCCUUGGCUGGAAAGGAGACAGAUGGGGCCCCUGCUCUCUGGGACUGAUUUCCAGUGGGAAGAAGGACGAUCAUCAAGGAACCCAACAAAUGAAUGACACCACCACAGGCAUGACAAGGGAAGCACAGAAAGAAAUAUGAUGCUAUGAAGAGGGCGAGGCUCUUCUGAGAAAACUCCUGCUCCAGGUGAGAGCAGAGCGAGCAAGAUGGACCUGAGGCAGGAGGUGGGAAUGGACUCAGCAGGUGGGACUUGAACAUCAGACCAAAUUGAGGACCAGCUAAAACAGGAAUGGAGCAGAAGCAGCUUUCCAUAAGACACACCCACCAGGGUGCCUCGUCAGUUUACCAUUGCUAUGGUAACACACAGAAGUUACCAUCCCUUUCCAUGGCAACAACCCAAUGAUCCGUAAGUUACCACUCUUUUCCUAGAAACUUCUGCAUACUCUGCCCCUUAAUUUGCAUGUAAUUAAAAGUGGGUAUAAAUAUGGGUGCAGACCUGCCUCUGAGCUGCUAUUCUGGGCACAUUGCCUAUGGGGUAGCCCUGCCGUGCAAGGAACAGCACCUUUGCUGCUGCUAAGCCCUGCCACUUCAGUGAAAGUUGCUAUCUAACCACUGGCUCACCCUUGAAUUCUUUCCUGGUUGAAGCCAAGAACCCUCUCAGUCUAAGCCCUUGCGUGCCCUGCAUCAUCUGGUGACCACAAAAAGACAAAGACAGCAGAGAUGGCAGCAAUCGGUGAUCAGCAGAGAGACAGCAAUUGGCAAGAUAUGACAAGAAAUGGCAGUCAGUGAGAUGGCAAGAGUAUAGUGAGAGAUGGUGAGAGACAGUGAUCAGCAAGACAACGAGCAGAGAUAGUGAGACAUGGUGAAGCAGCCUGUGAUCGAGACCGUAAGAGCUAUAACACUGAGGCUGUAACACCUAAGAGCUGCUCAAACUACAGAGCUGUAACUCUAGCCUAAGGCUCUUUGAAGAGCCAUCAUCUUUUCCCAUCAGGUGGUGCAGCCAAGUAGACAGCAAGUGACCAUAGUGCCUCUACCUUGUGUAGGACCCACUGUUCUGGCUAGCAGGCCAGUGGGUUACCCAUUCCUGUGCCAGCCUGCUGUGUGACAGCCGAGCCCACCCAAGCUGAGGGAACCUGGAGAGACUGUCACCCAGGUCCCAUGUGGAAGAUCAGUCAGUGCCAUUUUGGCUCAGUGACCGAUCCAAAAUGGGUGGAUGAGCGUCCCCUCUGCCACUCCCAAUAAUAUCAGGUGAGCUAGGGGAUAAAAGCCUUUGGCUAAGUGGUCAGUGAAAAGCCCCCCAGGGUUUGAGUGCCCCAAAACAUGCCCUUAUCACCCCUUCCCCUGUCCUUUCUCCUCUGACUCCAUUUUAUUUUCUCAUCAGUCAUUUUAUUUUCAGUUCUAUAUGUUUUGUUUGCAGUCUUCUUUUGCUUUUGACUUUCUGUUAACUGUAUUUGGCAAUUGUUUAAGGCAGAACACUUGGUUGUGAGAGAUACCCCAUUGUAUUGACUCUGGGGUGCCAGAGUCUCAUUGUUCUGUGACCCCAUUGUGGUCUUGGGUUCACUGUUGGGUGCCACCUGGGUGCCCUGGAGUUUUGAGCAUUUUAGAGAGGGGACCCUCAUUGACUGAAGCUUGGGCACUCUGAGUUUCCAGUACUGGUAUUUUUGGCCACCCCCAAGAUGCUCUGCAGUUUUCAGCAUUGACAUUCCCUCUAGGAUUGUGGCUUAGAGUCCCCUCCUCCCAAGGGAAUAUUGGUCUCGUCUUUUUCUCCCCUGAAGUUAGAAGUAUUAUUUUCCUAAUAGCCAGUUGCAGGCCCCUUCCUGUAUGCUAUCUUACAGCUGCCUUGAUCAAGCCUCUCUUGAUCAAAGUGACCAAAAGUUACCAGGCCCCUGGCCUGAUGGAUGACAAGCUACAGCAAUAGAUAAGUGGCCACACAAACAUUUUUUUCAGUAUCUCUGCUACUGGGUAGGUUCUCUGAAAACUCAGGGCCUCUGAGGUCUCCCUUUGGGCAAUGCUGUUUACACCCUUCCCCUUCUCCCUUCCACUGUCCCCAUUUGUUCAGCCUCCUCUCUGUGCAACCCUCCCUCUCUUUGCAGAACUUAGGCUCAAUAUUCUACUGCUCAUUUGUAGCUCAUAGUCUGCUUGUGUAAUGCCAUGCUACCUAUACUUACACCUUCCCCAUAGGAAGUGGGAGUCUAAAAGGGAAAAAUAACAAGGGCCAGGUUGCUUUCCCUCUUGCUAGACUUAGAAAAACUUCUGUGUCCAGUAAAAAUCCUUGUUAGUUAUGGGGACAAUGAUGAGCAUCCCAGAGGACUCACCACUAGGGUGUCUUUUAGACUAUUGGAGCAAAGUCAAAUUUGUCUUAAAGAAAAAGAAAUUCAUUUUCUAUUGCAAUACCAUUUCGGUUCAAUACCAAUUAGAAAACCAAUAGAUUUCACUUAAAUAUGGUGCUAUACUUUAUAAUGAUGUUUUGCAACUGGCCUUAUUUUGUAAAGAAGAAGAAAAAUGGGAAGAGGUCCCUUAUGUACAGGCUUUUAUGACCCUUUACUGGCUCAUGUUACUUUCAGGCAUCAGAAAUCCAUGCCUAGGGGAUCCCCUCCUAGCUUCUCCCCCUAGAAGGCCUAUGCCCUCCCCAGAGACUCCCCAGUCUCCCAGUUCUGAGGAGUGUCCCGCCAGUUCUCCAAUGAAGGAUUCCACCUCAAGGUCAUCAGGAGCCCCCUCCCUCUUAUUCAACUAGCCCCAACCUAUACCCUAUUUCCCUGCUGCCCAAAAAAGUAAGCCUAACAAGUACCACCCAGUCAGGGCCCCAUAUCAGCCCCUAAAACCAAGCCCGUGUCCAUUGCGGGAGGUAGCUAAUGGAAAUAAGGGGACACUUAGAGUACAUGUGCCGUUUUCUAUAUCUAAUUUGGCCUUAUACAAGAGAAGAUUUGGCCAGUUUUCAGAGGAUACAGAUUCACAGAGGAGUUUAUUAAGUUGGCCGCAUUCUUUGAUAUAACUUGUCAUGAGUUGCAAAUAUUGUUGUCCACUUGUUGUGUGGUGGGAAAAACACAGGAAAAAGUGUGGUUAAGCCAGUCAAUUGUGACAAGGAUAGAGCAAUAACUCAGGGAAGAGAUGAAAAUAUCGCUCUGUUUCAGGGUCAUCUAGUUGAGGCAGUAGGGAAAUAUACUUAAUGCAGACCUAGACUUCCCAGAAGGGUAAGCUCUCCUGGGUACACGUUUCAUUACUCAAUCUGCCUCUAACAUUACAAAAAGCAGCAAUGGGGCCUCAAGCCCCUAUGAGCCAACUCUUAAAUGUGACCUUUAAAGUUUACAACAAGAGGGGCAGGGCAAAGUGCUGGAAUAAAAGAAAUAGCUGAAAAGUGCAAUUAUUAGCAAAUGCUUUAAGCCUCCUGCCCCCUCAGGGUUACUCAUCCUGAGAAAGUGCCAUGAAAUCAGGAUCUGGGAUGCGCAGACAACAGCCCUCCAUUUGCCGGCCCUCGGGCCAGAAUCAGUGUGCCUACUAUAAGUAAAAUGACCCUUGACAACUAGAAUGUCUAACUGUACCUGGUGAGAGAGAGAGAAAAAAGUAAUCUCCCUCUCAGUUACAAAGCUAAACUUCUUCCACUGGCCCCAAAGAGCCACCUUACCCAAGUAAGUUUACUGGGAGUUUGGCUCCUUGACAUGACAGAUAGAUUCCCACAGUGGCAGAUAAGCAGCUGCCCAAACAUUUUUCUUCAGUGUCUCUACUGCUGGUUGAACUCUCCAAUGGCUCGAGGACUCUGGGGUCUCCUCUUGAGCAAUGCAGUUUUACCCCUCCCUUCCUUAUUUGAUGCCAUGGGAUCCCCUUUCCUGCCUCUUCUUGUCUUCCAUACCUGUUGGGCAAACAAAAUUUAUCCAGUAGAUGGGUCCUGGUUUCGUAAAUAACUUGAAUCCAGUUGUCUUGUACAGGUCAUUUUAUUUAAUGUGUUGUUUAGAAGUAGAUACAGGUAUUAUAAUGUGUGUUGUAUCUAGCAUGCUAUCAAGUUGACUUGUAAAUAAAAGGACACUCAUGAAUUAAACAAGACUAGCCUAAGCUUAUUAGUUUGAAGAGAAUGUUGUGUCUUCUAAAAUUUUACUUUAAGAUUUUUACCUAGAUAAGUCAUUGAUGUUAUUAGGCUUUAAAAUGGUUAAAUGGCUUUAAAUGGUGACUAGUUUUGCACGAUAUCUUGGUUCUUGGAGAUGGUCUAGAUAAAAACCUUUAAAAGUGAAAAAGUUCAAUACAUGUGAAUGAAAUCAAUGCUUAAAUACUGAGAUUUUGUAGAGUAAAAAACCUUAAAAUUAUAAACUGGUUCUCAUCUAUAGAAUGCCAAUGUCUGGUGAGCAGUUCAGGAUUUCUUGCUUCCUAGGUUUAUAUAACAUGUGCCAAAGAAAUGUCUUCUUUAUUGGGAAAAAACAUAAUUUUUGUCUAAUUCAGUAGUUAUUAAAAGUGAGGUUCAAAAUAUGAGGGAACCAGUGAGCAGAAAAAAAAGAGAUGUAAAGAAUGUUAUGGAUAGAAACAUAACUUUUUUUUUUGCAAGGAAGGAUAUAAAGAAAGAGCAAUUUUG
rnacentral:lncRNA from 1 species